UAGCUCAGUUGGUAGAGCAUGGUGUUUGCAACGCCAGGGUUGUGGGUUCAAUUCCCAC
rfam:Salmo salar isolate Sally breed double haploid chromosome ssa15, whole genome shotgun sequence.